UGUCCGAGCCGCCCCACCCUUAAGGCUGAUAAGGAGUCUUCUUCCUGGUGAGCCAUGAGCUGGAAGUGCUCCAGGCAGGGAGCCAGGCCCUGGGGCUAGGCAUCCCAGCAGCCUGUCUGAAUAGGGGUCACCCACAGAGGGCUGCCGUGGCCCCUUCCGGCACCCAGAUUUGUGCAGCCUCGUCCAGAGCGUUCGGCAGGUGGAAUUGGGCAGAAGGAGCUCCUUUGUGUCUGGCCGCCUGUGCUCAGCUCAGCGGUUUAGGCUUCACGUGGCGGUUGCGUGCCUCGAUGGUUGGUUCCUCUCGGUUGCCUGGACAUACUGCAGCUUGCUUAUCCUUCAUCAGUUCAUGGACAUCUGGGGCCUAUGCUGGCCCCACCGGGGCCCCUCCCACCACUGUGAGGACUGGAGCGUGGGGUCUGAGGAGCACAGAGUCCUGGUCUCUGGAGGGGCAGGGUCCCCAGGAGGAUUUUGGUAGUUGCCAUUUAGAAGCGUGCCAGGGCUUGCCCCAGAAUUCCCUCCUGGGUGAGCAGCUGUGAGGACCCCCAGCCCAUCUGAGCCUCACACCCUGCCUGGCCACCAUGAUGCAAGCUAGAUGCUCAGAUCACCAGAGGGCCUUGGGGACGGCAUCACCCGCCCAUUCUGGGCCUCGGGCUCCUCAUCCGUAAAUGGAGCCCUAGCCCUUGCCUGGCCCAUCUCCCAGGGCUGGCUGAAGACACCAGGAGAUGAAGUGUAUGAGAAGGUUCUGUGGUAUGAGAGGUCUUACCGGUGGACCAUGUGGAGGGAGGUGCCUUCUGCCUACCCUGGUUCCUGCUGUGAGCUAGGCGCCAACCCCAGGCCCCCUGCUAAGGAACCUGGGAGCUCCUGGGUUGGGGUGGGAGGGCUGCGCCCACCAUCACGCUGGCAUCAUGGACGUGCGAUCCAAGCACCUGCACCCAGCCCCGUGCUCAAAAAGGCUCUGUGCUGGGGCCAUUUCCCCUCAUUCCCGGCCUCCUCCCUCUGCUCUGGAUUAAGAGAACGCCUGGGGGCUGGCCCUGCCUCUCAAACACUGAGCACUUCUCCCCAGGUCCUGAGGGUUCUGAAACCACUAUACCCACAUGCCAGCCAUGUGCCAACCCACUUCUUCAGUGGCUGCUACCUCUUUUUUUCCUUUUUAAGUCAAACUGGACUGCAGUGUAAUUCACAAACAAUAAAAUG